rnacentral:lncRNA from 1 species
AAAAGGAAAGCACUGUUCCAAAUGCAUAGCCUGGAGCAUAGCAAAAUAUGUAAUUAAAGACCCGCGCCUGAUGUCGGGGAGCCUCGAUGUGCGCAUGCGUCCCAGGCUGAGGCCGCCGGAAGAGGUCAGGCGGUUCGCCGGCGUUCCAAGUUGGAGGCCAGCCCAGGACAAGGAGGGGAAGUGCGCAUGUGCUCCAAAUCAUUUCCCGGCCGAGGAAAUUGGCUAAGACCGUUAGCUGGUGGGAAUCGGAAGAGAAUGGGUCACUCGGGCUGUGCGCGGGGCACUAUGGGUGUUGUAGUUUUUGCAGGGUGGUAGCAGUUUGUUCUUUUAAGAGGAAAUCUUCGCGACUAGUUGAGUCACGAAGAUUUGAGACAUGUAUUUUUUUUUCUUUUUUUACUCAGGUUUGGUUAGCAGGACAUUUCCAGGGUAUCACAGUAUACUGAAAUAUUACAAGAAAGGUCCAUAAAUGCUGUACAUCCUCCAAUCUGUAAAUUGUUCAGCAACAGGAAGACAGUGAAAGAUAGACGGCAACUCACCAAGAAGAAUAUGUCAGUGAUUUCCCCUAAGAUGUGAUUGUUCCACAGAAGCAUUCUUCAGGGGAGUGGGUCUGUGCAGGCAGUAAGUGGGAAGAUCUUCACUUAGUGUGCCGUCCUUCCUCAGCUUCAAGAGAAUCCACUUGAAGGAGAAGUCCCAUAUAUUAUGUCCAAUGCUGUGAAGCAUCUUUUGGUGCCUUCAUUUCAUCCAACACCAAAAUCCUCAAUGGUGAAGAAAUCUAUAAAUGUAGUAUUGACCUUGAGAAAAAGUUGAGCACAACUGCGCCCUCAUGCAGCACUGGAGAAACCUAUACAUGUAAAGAAGGACAGUUUUCAUUUGACUCUCAGAGCUGAUUGUAUAUUGGCAAACAUAUUUUUCUGCCAUUGCUUAGGGAUAAGAAAUCUAACAGAAACAUCAAAUAAAAUACUGAAGAGAGA